rnacentral:rRNA from 1 species
UACGGAGGGUGCAAGCGUUAAUCGGAAUUACUGGGCGUAAAGCGCAUGCAGGCGGUUAGUUAAGUCAGAUGUGAAAGCCCCGGGCUUAACUUGGGAAUUGCAUCUGAUACUGGCAGGCUAGAGUCUUGUAGAGGGGGGUAGAAUUCCAGGUGUAGCGGUGAAAUGCGUAGAGAUGUGGAGGAAUACCGGUGGCGAAGGCGGCCCCCUGGACAAAGACUGACGCUCAGGUGCGAAAGCGUGGGGAGCAAACAGG